rnacentral:rRNA from 1 species
GAUGAACGCUGGCGGCGUGCCUAAUACAUGCAAGUCGAGCGAACAGACGAUGCUCUUGCUUCUCUUCCGUUAGCGGCGGACGGGUGAUUCACACGUGUAUACCCUACCUAUAUGACUGGGAUAACUUCGCGACACCGGAUCUAAUACCGGAUAACAUGUUGAACCUCAUGGUUCUACAGUGCUAGCCGUUCUUGCUGUCACUUAUACAUGUUUCCGCGCCGCAUUAGCUAGUUGGUACGGUAAAGGCUUACCAAGGCAACGAUGCGUAACCGACCUGAGAGGAGGAUCAGACACACGGGAACAGAGACACGGACCAGACUCCUAAGGGAAGCAGCAGUAGGGAAUAUUAGGCAAUGGGCGAAAGCCUGACGGAGCAAGGCCGCGUGAGGGAAGAAGGUCUUCGGAUCGUAAAACACUGUAAGUAGGGAAGAAGAAAAGUGAAAGAAAAUAUGGACGUAUUGACGGUACCAAAAGAAAAAGCAACGGCUAACUACGUG